CUGCCAUGGCUACUCCCAGGAGUUCCCUGACCCCGGCUCUGUCCAGGUGGCAUGGAGGAGCACAUGGCUCUGCCCUGUGAUGGACAGUCCCUUUCCACGACAUCAGGGAUCAAGCCGGGCUUCCAAUCUACAGCUGCAUAUUCCUACAGCUUCUCAGAGUUCUGUGAACACUGACUGAGGAGACAAACCAGGCAGGAACCACCC
ensembl:snoRNA SNORA73 Small nucleolar RNA SNORA73 family